GUGCUCGCUUCGGCAGCACAUAUACUAAAAUUGGAAUGAUACAGAGAAGAUUAGCAUGGCCCCUGCUAUGGCCAAAUUUACACCCAUCGAGACGCUCCAGAACUAU